rnacentral:rRNA from 1 species
UACGUAGGGUGCAAGCGUUGUCCGGAAUUAUUGGGCGUAAAGAGCUCGUAGGCGGUUUGUCGCGUCGAAUGUGAAAACCCGGGGCUUAACCCCGGGCCUGCAUUCGAUACGGGCAGACUAGAGUUCGGUAGGGGAGUCUGGAAUUCCUGGUGUAGCGGUGAAAUGCGCAGAUAUCAGGAGGAACACCGGUGGCGAAGGCGACGUCCUGGACCGGCAUUGACGCUGAGGCGCGAAAGCCAGGGGAGCAAACGGG